rnacentral:rRNA from 1 species
UGCCCUAGUAACGGCGAGUGAAGCGGCAACAGCUCAAAUUUGAAAGCUAGCCUUCGGGUUCGCAUUGUAAUUUGUAGAGGAUGAUUUGGGGAAGCCGCCUGUCUAAGUUCCUUGGAACAGGACGUCAUAGAGGGUGAGAAUCCCGUAUGUGACAGGAAAUGGCACCCUAUGUAAAUCUCCUUCGACGAGUCGAGUUGUUUGGGAAUGCAGCUCUAAAUGGGAGGUAAAUUUCUUCUAAAGCUAAAUAUUGGCGAGAGACCGAUAGCGCACAAGUAGAGUGAUCGAAAGAUGAAAAGCACUUUGGAAAGAGAGUUAAAAAGCACGUGAAAUUGUUGAAAGGGAAGCGCUUGCAAUCAGACUUGUUUAAACUGUUCGGCCGGUCUUCUGACCGGUUUACUCAGUUUGGACAGGCCAGCAUCAGUUUCGGCGGCCGGAUAAAGGCUCUGGGAAUGUGGCCUCCACUUCGGUGGAGGUGUUAUAGCCCAGGGUGUAAUACGGCCAGCCGGGACUGAGGUCCGCGCUUCGGCUAGGAUGCUGGCGUA